AAACAAAAAUGUGGAACAAUUAGAAAAUAGGGUGUAACUAAAUUAAAUUGCAGUCAGUCUCGCUAAUAAUAAUACAGAUACAUGUCAAAAUACAUUAAGCAUGAUACAUAUUGCAAAAAAAAUCUCUUCAAGCCUUGUGAAACUUCAGAUGCCAAUGCCAUACUUAAUCAGCUACAAAAGAGAAGAGUAUGAAGUGAUUAGUUAAAUAAAUAAAUAAAUACACUCCUAAUUCAUAACCAUCUUCAACAGAGAUCAGCUUCCAACAAUAAGAGAUGUGUAAAAUAUACAUUUUUAAAAAAGAAAUAGUUGAAUCAUACUUAAUAAAUAAAAAUAUAGCAUAAUUAUAUUUAUAUCCACACACACACAAAAGCAUUAACAAACAACAGAAAUGCACAAAACACACGGCAACGACAAUUCAAACGAGAAAUUAAAAAAAAUAGGGAAUGAUAAAUUUGGAGAGCCCGCGUGGCCAUCACUGCCCUCAAGCAAUGUGAAACAGAGAAAGGGGCUCUGACCGCGGGCAGUCUUCAUUGCAGGGUUCCAACGGCGAAUUCCAUCUUUCAGUCGCGGGGACUCUGGGGGCAGAGCCGCCAUUAAAGGAGGCUCCGCCGUCACCGUCCCCGCUGCGAGUGAAAGGAUCGGAAAGGGAACAACCGCGCCGUGGCUUCCUCUGCUCAGAUAAGAUCAAGUAGUGUUGAGGUUCUGUUUAGGGUUUGUGCUCUGAUUAAAUACUACCACCACCCACCAAUCCGUCUUACUCAUAUUCCCAAAAUACCCUUGCCAUUAAAUCAACCCACGCUCCCUCCUUUAUAAAUUGUAAAAAAAUUCAAUUAAAUAAAAUACACCGUAAAAGUUAGGCAUAAUUUCUAAUGUGCAUUUUUUAGGUGUUUCUAAUGUUAUUUUAUAAUCAAAAUUUAAAAUUCAUUUCGAUAAUUUGCCGUUAAAAAUUAACGCAGGUUAUAAAAGUGAAAGCUUAAUAUUAUUGGAAAAAUAAUAUUACAGACAUAUGGUAAAU
rnacentral:lncRNA from 1 species